CUUUCUCAUGAUGCUUAACCACUGUGGUUGCUGAGAAGUUAUCUGUCAGCUUGUAUAUCCUCAGAAAUUAACUCCAGCUCACAUACAUCCUGAUCAUUUCUCAACAAGAGUGUAGGAGUGUGCCCAGGCAGCUUUUGCCAUGUGUGGAUCAAACAUUUUCAAGAGGUCAGAAGACUGAGGCUUGGAGAGAUUAUUUCUCCCCCACCUCCCUCAAGACCUCUUAGCUCCUUUGGAUAUACCCAAAUUCUUUAUACACAAAAGGGAAAGGUAGUUGUCACACCACUUUCCUCUCCAAUUCCCAUCCUUCAGAUCUCAUCAUGGGCUUUCAGUGCCAGGUACAAAGCAAGAUGGCAAUGCAAAUGGAGCUCCAGUGAAUUUUACCCCCGGCAUCUUUCUCAUCCUCAGGUCUAGACCCUCCGAAGUUUAAUACAGAAAGACACUGUGUGUUAACUCAAUCCUUGCUGUACCUUGAACAAACAUUUUUUCGAAAAAUAGUAAGGACAUUCAACAAGAUACAAAUUCCAAACUAAGUAUGAAGACAAUAAUUUCAAACUGGUAUGAAUUGAUUCAAGUGAUCAUCAAUUACAUUUUUGAGCUCUCAGUCUACUAUAAGAUAUAUUUAUUUAAUAAAUGCUGGUCAAGUUAAUUAGUUACUGACCCC
ensembl:lncRNA